rnacentral:rRNA from 1 species
UAGGGAAUCUUCGGCAAUGGCCGGAAGUCUGACCGAGCAACGCCGCGUGAGUGAAGAAGGUUUUAGGAUAGUAAAGCUCUGUUGUUAGAGAAGAACGUUUGUAGGAGUGGAAAAUCUACCAAGUGACGGUAACUAACCAGAAAGGGACGGCUAACUACGUGCCAGCAGCCGCGGUAAUACGUAGGUCCCGAGCGUUGUCCGGAUUUAUUGGGCGUAAAGCGAGCGCAGGCGGUUCUUUAAGUCUGAAGUUAAAGGCAGUGGCAUAACCAUUGUACGCUGUGGAAACUGGGAGACUUGAGUGCAGAAGGGGAGAGUGGAAUUCCAUGUGUAGCGGUGAAAUGCGUAGAUAUAUGGAGGAACACCGGUGGCGAAAGCGGCUCUCUGGUCUGUAACUGACGCUGAGGCUCGAAAGCGUGGGGAGCAAACAGG